GUAACUCAUCACGUGAACCCUUUUCAAAUUUCAAACUACGAGCCCUUUUCAUUUUUGUUCUCUCUCUCCCUCAAAGAUCUGGAUUUGGAUCUGUGGAUUCAAAAGGAAAAAAGAAUCAGAGAUGUAGAGAUGUGUUGUUGAUCUACAAUAUCAGAGUGGAAUCAAAAUCCUCAUCUUCAUCUUCAUCUUCCGACUUGAUACAGAGCCGGUGUGGGAUCUGAGUUUGUUCUUCAUCUAGGGUUUUGAUGAUUGAGAGUUGAGUUGUUACUUAUGACGACCGUCGCUGCAACCACCUUCUCCUCUGUCGCACCUACCACCUCCUCUUCACCAUCUCCGACACUCAAAACCCUAGGUUUCACCACAGUCUUCCUCUCAUCCAAAACCUCCUUCAAAUCAUUCCACGCUCGCGUAUUUCCAUCCAACAUGACCUCUGUCUCCGCUAUGGGAGCUCGUAUGGUUGCAUCUCCGACGAACACCAAGUCGUCGGUGUCUCUUGAUUUCGAAACCUCUGUUUUUAAAAAGGAGAAAGUCAACAUUGCCGGUCACGGAGAGUACAUUGUGACAGGAGGAAGAGAUUUAUUUCAUCUAUUGCCGGAUGCAUUUAAAGGUAUUAAGCAGAUUGGUGUCAUUGGUUGGGGUUCUCAGGGUCCUGCACAAACUCAGAAUUUAAAGGAUUCACUUGCAGAAGCAAAGUCUGAUAUUGUAGUGAAGUGUUUCUGUAGAGUUUGAGAUCAAGAGCUUGGUGUUUGAGCGUGUAGUGAAGUAACAGGAAGGAAUCAUGUUUGGUUCUAGCAAUCCAUUACCUACAUAAUUGGAGUAGAGAACUUCUGUAUCGGGAGGAAUUGUUGGAGUUUGUUUAGCUAUACAGUCAUCACCUACUAUAAUGGGACUUAUUGGACAGAACUUCAUGACAGGAUAUCGGUUGGUUUUUUAUAGGGAAAAUCUUACACUCGGAUGGUCAUACUCAAGAUUAUUGUGCAGCUGCAGCCUGCAUUGGCUACUCAGGAGAGUGUUUGGUUGGUACAACUAAGGAAAGAGAGUUAAUUACACAAAUGGGUCCUGUGGUUUACACAUAAUUUCUUCUUUGGCAAGGUGACUUUUGUUUGAGACAAUAUAUCCUCGAUUAUGUUAGGAGUAUCACACCUUUUGUUGGGCAUAAUUAGCCUUAUGGUUGAGUUUACUAUGAAGGAUUUUAAGAUACCACGGAACCUGCAUUAAAGUUAGACUUUAUGCGACUUUUGAGCUGUUUGGUCCAUUCAACCAGUUUGAUUGGUUUACUCUUACCCAAAUUCAAAAUCAAGAUAGAACAUAACCCAAACUGACCCACUUGUAAAUAACAAUGGCAACGGGACUGGAAUCAAACUUCAUUGUGCAUCAAUUCAUAUUCUGUCUGAUACCAUGGAAGCUGCAAGAAAACCUUCUGUUGCUGCUAUUGUCGGGGUUGCUUUAGGUGGCGGAUUAGAGGCUGCAAUGGUA